rnacentral:rRNA from 2 species
AUAUUGGGCGUAAGAGCUCGUAGGCGGUUUGUCGCGUCUGCUGUGAAAUCCCGAGGCUCAACCUCGGGCUUGCAGUGGGUACGGGCAGACUAGAGUGCGGUAGGGGAGAUUGGAAUUCCUGGUGUAGCGGUGGAAUGCGCAGAUAUCAGGAGGAACACCGAUGGCGAAGGCAGAUCUCUGGGCCGUUACUGACGCUGAGGAGCGAAAGCAUGGGGAGCGAACAGGAUUAGAUACCCUGGUAGUCCAUGCCGUAAACGUUGGGCGCUAGAUGUAGGGACCUUUCCACGGUUUCUGUGUCGUAGCUAACGCAUUAAGCGCCCCGCCUGGGGAGUACGGCCGCAAGGCUAAAACUCAAAGGAAUUGACGGGGGCCCGCACAAGCGGCGGAGCAUGCGGAUUAAUUCGAUGCAACGCGAAGAACCUUACCAAGGCUUGACAUAUACCGGAAACGGCCAGAGAUGGUCGCCCCCUUGUGGUCGGUAUACAGGUGGUGCAUGGUUGUCGUCAGCUCGUGUCGUGAGAUGUUGGGUUAAGUCCCGCAACGAGCGCAACCCUCGUUCUAUGUUGCCAGCGAUUCGGUCGGGGACUCAUAGGAGACUGCCGGGGUCAACUCGGAGGAAGGUGGGGAUGACGUCAAAUCAUCAUGCCCCUUAUGUCUUGGGCUUCACGCAUGCUACAAUGGCCGGUACAAAGGGCUGCGAUACCGUAAGGUGGAGCGAAUCCCAAAAAGCCGGUCUCAGUUCGGAUUGAGGUCUGCAACUCGACCUCAUGAAGUCGGAGUCGCUAGUAAUCGCAGAUCAGCAACGCUGCGGUGAAUACGUUCCCGGGCCUUGUACACACCGCCCGUCAAGUCAUGAAAGUCGGUAACACCCGAAGCCGGUGGCCUAACCCUUGUGGAAGGAGCCGUCGAAGUGGGAUCGGUAAUUA